rnacentral:rRNA from 1 species
GCCAGACUCCUACGGGAGGCAGCAGUGGGGGAUACUGCACAAUGGGGGAAACCCUGAUGCAGCGACGCCGCGUGAGUGAAGAAGUAUUUCGGUAUGUAAAGCUCUAUCAGCAGGGAAGAAAAAAGACGGUACCUGACUAAGAAGCCCCGGCUAACUACGUGCCAGCAGCCGCGGUAAUACGUAGGGGGCAAGCGUUAUCCGGAUUUACUGGGUGUAAAGGGAGCGUAGACGGCAAUACAAGUCGGAAGUGAAAUACCCGGGCUCAACCUGGGAACUGCUUUGGAAACUGUAUGGCUGGAGUGCUGGAGAGGUAAGCGGAAUUCCUAGUGUAGCGGUGAAAUGCGUAGAUAUUAGGAGGAACACCAGUGGCGAAGGCGGCUUACUGGACAGUAACUGACGUUGAGGCUCGAAAGCGUGGGGAGCAAACAGGAUUAGAUACCCCGGUAAU